rnacentral:lncRNA from 1 species
CGCAGUGGAAGGGAGCAGGAAGAUGGCUGCUGCGUGGAGGCAGACCUCACAUCGCAAUCCGAGUAUAUUGUGUUAUUUAUAAAAAAUAAGACGUUUAAAUAUUGUUAUUGAUGAAAAAAGGAUUCAAAGAUUCGACGCAGCCACGCCCUAGCAAUGCGGCCAUCUUGUUAUCUCAAUGCACCACGUGAGUCUCUGUAUGUAAACCGUAUAUGACAACCGGCGAACUCUCAACAAGUAAAGCUUCCAGCAACAUCAAUGUUCAGAUUGAUGUAAAAAAGUCGAAAAAGUGCGUUUCGAUGGAAGCUAGACGUUCAUCAGAUCCAAAAACUUGGAAAUGAAGGAUUAACUUGAAGAAUAAAUCAGUUGGAGAAAAUAAUACAUCAAUCCAAGCUGCUUUUUAUGGAAUGCAGCCACACCGUUGAUCAGGUAAUGACCCAGGAGAAAGAAGGGUCUAUCGGUAAGGUAGAUAACACUUAC